rnacentral:rRNA from 1 species
GACGAACGCUGGCGGCGUGCUUAACACAUGCAAGUCGAACGAUGAACCCGGAGCUUGCUCCGGCGGAUUAGUGGCGAACGGGUGAGUAACACGUGAGUAACCUGCCCUUGACUCUGGGAUAACUGCUAGAAAUGGUAGCUAAUACCGGAUACGACCCUCGGUGGCAUCACCAGGGGGUGGAAAGAAUUUCGGUCAAGGAUGGACUCGCGGCCUAUCAGCUAGUUGGUGAGGUAACGGCUCACCAAGGCGACGACGGGUAGCCGGCCGGAGAGGGGGAGCGGCAACACUGGACGGAAACACGGCCCAGACGCCAGGGGGAGGCAGCAGUGGGGAAUGUUGCACAAUGGGCGAAAGCCUGAGGCAGCAACGCCGCGGGGGGGAGGACGGCCUUCGGGUUGUAACCCUCUUUUAGUAGGGAAGAAGCGAAAGGGAGGGUACCUGAAGAAAAAGCACCGGCUAACUACGUGCCAGCCGCCGCCGUAA